rnacentral:rRNA from 1 species
UACGUAGGUGGCAAGCGUUGUCCGGAUUUACUGGGCGUAAAGAGCGCGCAGGCGGUCGAUUUAGUCGCGUGUGAAAGCCCCCGGCUCAACUGGGGAGGGUCACGCGAUACUGAUCGACUCGAAGGCAGGAGAGGGUAGUGGAAUUCCCGGUGUAGUGGUGAAAUGCGUAGAUAUCGGGAGGAACACCAGUGGCGAAGGCGAGCUACCUGGCCUGUUCUUGACGCUGAGGCGCGAAAGCUAGGGGAGCAACGGGGAUUAAGAAACCC